AAUCCAAGAAGAGGAAGACAAGGACAAUAUCGCUUGCGACAUAAGCAACAUAAAAAAAGAGUUCUCAAGACAGUUGAGUUUCGGAUCAAAUGCUCUUGACCUCAACUUAAGAGUUGAUGCCGAAGAAGAACAAGAAGAAGAAGAAGUAACUGUAGCUAAACCGGGCACUCAAAUCUCAAGCGGAUUUGAAGAACGUUUUCUAGAUUCGAUCAAGAACUGGUUUGAUUUCACAGUUUUGUCGAACGAAGAUAUAACCGGUUUUUUUGUGACGAAGAUCAAAGAUUCGUGUGAGGAGAUCCUCGGGAAACGGGAAGAGAGAUUUGGGUUUACCGUCGAUGCGGGAUUGAUCGAGAAGUUUUACAGAGAAUGUGGGUUUUUGGCUAACGGUUUGUUUGAAGAGUGGGUGAAAAAAGUUUUUCAAACGGGUUUAGUAACGGUCAAAGACGGCGGGAAAGAGGGCAUAAGUGUAAUUAACCUAUGUUUGGGGGGUAUAGAAAUGAUUGACCAUAGGGAGGUAUACGAGGAGGAAGGAUUCAUGGGUACUUGUCUACCUAAUAGAAUCCAAGUUUCCUUUGUUGAUUAACUUUGGCUUUAAUGCGGUUUUUAUUAAUUUCUACUAAAAUCAUAUAUAUAUAUAUUACCUAUUUACUUUGCUGUUAUUUAUUUCUUUAUAUUGCUUUCUAAGAAAAGAAGAAAAUAAAUUAAUUAUGACCCAAGAAAAGUGGAACUUGACCGCAUUGUUCUUUGUGUAAACAUAAGUUGCCUCACUUCAUCAUAGAAUGUGCCUUUUUUAUUGCUUUUUUUUAAUAGUGUUAUCUUUUUCAUUCCAUUGUCUUUUGUAUAGAUUUAAUAAUUUUUGCCAUAGCUUAAAUUAUUUUUAUUGAUUUUUAUAUAAAGUCGUAUGAAUCUUCAAUCUAUGGUACAUCGUUUGAUGUACUAGAUCUGAGCACUCAUAUUCUUUUCUUCUUUGAGAUUAUCUUCUUCUAUUAGAACUUUGAAUCAAAAAUUAGAAAGCAUAUAUUUAAAUAGCGGAUCUUUAAUCCCCAGAAAGGCAAAAACCAGUUCAGCCAUCAUGUAUAUGCAAUUGGUUAAUUACAUUAGCCUGAACAAUUAUUCACAUAUUAAUCAAUUUGGUCUUGCAAAAUUAAAUGAUGUUACUUCAGUGAUCUUGUCAUAAUCGAGAGGUUAUUAUAUAUCAAUUUUUGUAUUGGUUAUAAGAGAUUUCACAUAAUAACUGUAACUAUAAAAUUAUAGGAUUUUCGUCUGAUUUUUGGUCUAUAAUCUUUGCUAUAUAUUAAAUACUGCAAAAAUAGUAUACGACACGUCAAAUAAUUCCUUUUUAAAUAGAGUAGGCAUCUAAAGAGACUUGAAAGGAAUAAUCCAUAGUUGAGAUCAAGUUUCAUGUGAACUAAAUAUAUUAUUUGGCAUAUUGUAGUGGAAAGGUCAUUAUGCCAAAGAGUGGCUCAAGACAGUGUUGGCUUAAUGCCCAGUAUAUAUAAACCUUUGGAAGCUGCUCAAUGUAAUUAUGACACUAAGACACAUUUGCAUUGCAUGCCCAUGUAAUCCCCCAUUACUAAUCAAUAAUUAAUUAUUAAAUAUGAUAAUGAACAAUAUAAUGUGCCUAGCUACAAAAUCAUUAUCAUUUAUGUAUAUGUUAGGCAACCAUUUGCCGUAAUAAUGAUUAGCAUUUCAAUAUAAUUCAAAGAAUUCUAGUUUUAUCUAUGUAUAUUGAGCUAACUUACUCUUUAGUUCAUAGGUCUUAUAGAUCUGUCAUGCGUUGCACUAUAUAACAACUUCAGAUAUUAGAAGUCGUACGUCCCUUUACAUCUAUCUAUAGUUAAUAAGACUAGUGUUUUAGACUUGUAGUGUAGAUAAAUAAAAAGACUAGUGUUGUAGUAUCAGCAUGUGAAGUGUUGGAACUUUUUAGUGAAUUCAGUGAUAGACUGACAAACUAUGAAUUAAUAUCUGCAUAUUGUAGUAGACAAAUUAUAAAAAUGGUAAUAUAUUAAAUGCAUAAAUAUAUCAACUUGCUGCCAAAAUAAAAUAUUGAUAUGUUAUGCAACAGAACAAUCAUGUAUUAAUUUUCAAUAAAUGAAACGGUUUGAUGUAAAAAAAAAAAAAAAGAAAUCUCGUCUAGAACUUGGAGAUAUAUGAACUUUGGCCUAAAAUUUCUUAAUCAUAAAAACAUGUGGUGGCUAUCUGAUGUAAUGGUUCAUACAACGAAAUAUUUACAUCAAGAUUUGGUUUGUAAAUUUAUUUAUAUAAAUUUCUUAAUAAUCAAUUUUCUACAUAAGUUACAAAAAGUAUAAUGGUAAUUCUUCAAGGGGCUGGGAGAGUGAUCACAGAGCCGUAAUAAGGAAAACCAUGUAUGGGAAACCAGGACACAUGUGUCUUGAAGUUGCAGCAGUGAGAACUGAAGAAGAAGAGUAAAUAAGAGAAAUUGCCAAAAUUUUCUAAAAUUUCCGGUCAAAAUAGUUGGUUAUCAAUAAAGCUAUUUACUACUUUUGAUCAUGUUACAUUUAUGCACGAUAUAAUGUUGUGUUUGGCUUGUGUUCAUCAGUUUGUCUUAAAACUCUUAGGAUUAGAACGAGUCGGGUCUAUUAUUAGUACCGUCACUAAGAGAUUUCUGUUUGCAAUGCAUGUAACGUGUAUCUUAAAAUGUAGAGUCUGACUUGUUUACAUCUCUAGUUAAAUUCCAAACCACUUGUGAGUAAAACAUAACGUACAAUAUACAUACACGUUGAAAUUUGUACUUAUGUCGACUUAAGUUUUGGGUCCUAGCUCUUAAUUUUGUUUUUGUAUUUAACUAUUUAUGCUCGAAAUUACAUGGUUAAUGUUUCGCCAAAGCUGUCAAGUACUAUAGUAAUCAACAGAUUGUUCUACACCUUAAGAAAUUGAUUUCCAAGACUCGGAGAUUUUUUUAAUUAAUAUAAGAAUGAAAAAUAUAUAUAUAUAUAUAUAUAUAUGUAUUGUUGAAAAAUAUAUAUAUUUAUCCAUUAUGGCUUCGUGAUCACCAGCACACACCUCCUAAUAAAAAGAAAGCUACUAAUCUUCCAUAUCUGAACCACUUUCUUCGGCAUCACUUCCUUCAGGAAGAAAACUUUCUUCGGUAUCACUUCCUUCAGGAAGAAAAAAUUCAGGAAGGAAACUUUCUUCACUUAUUUCGGCAUCACUUCCAUCGGAAUCACAUUCUUUGGCAUCACAUUCUUUGGCAUCACAUACUUCGGCAUCACCUUCUUCGUCAUCACUUUCUUCGGAACCACUUUCUUCUUCGGAACCACAUUGUUUGGCACUAUUGAGAAUGCUCCAACACUUAACCUCGAGGCGCAUGUGUCCUGGUUUCCCAUCCAUUGCUUUCCGUACAACCGCUCUGUAAUUAACCAAGCCAUCUGUUUCUGGAUCAUCUGCACACUGAAAACUUAUGUAGAAGAUUGCAUUAGGCGCCUUGAGCUUAUCACGAGUCUCUGUCUCAGCUUCUUCUCCUCGAGUUUCCACAACCACUUCUUGAGGAUCCAAUUCUACGCAUUCCGCAAUGUCUUUGGGAUCAAGCAAUCCUCUCCAUUUGGUGUAGAAGGCAAACUCAGUGAAGAGAUGCAGCCACCCAUUGUUGACCACGUCCCGCAACUCCGAUUCUUGCAACUGUCAUUGAACAAAACCGAGACAUGAAGCUAUAUAUAUACGUGUGUAUCGUAACUUAACUAGUAGAAGAUGCAUGCAAGAUCAAGACAUUUACCACAUAGCGUUGUUGCUGAUCGUCGUCAUCAGAAAACCAUUCAGGCAUUUCGCCUUUGUACCGCUCAUCUACUUCCUCACUCCACUCAUGAUCAGUCUCUUCUUCUUCUUCUUCACCAUCUUUUAUUUCAACCAAACAAAAAAAAGAAAAACAUUUAAAGGUCAUAAGGCAGUCCUUUUUUACCACAACCUUAAAACUGCUCUCUUUUACCUUUAACGACGCAAAAGAAGGUCUCCCACCAUAAACACACAUCGUCUUUAACAUCGUCUUUAUCAUCAUCAUGCUUAACGCAAGUACGAAAAGUGAGUGGAGAAUUAUCGGCCGGAUUCAUUGCCUCCAGUGUUAUGAACGAAGUGCAGAGCUCAGGAUCGGCCAUAUCAAGAUGAUCUGUAUAUGAACGCCUCACAGACUUAAACUGGUAGUGCGUGGCCUAACAAGAUCAGAAAGUAAGACAGGGAAGCUUAACUAACCAAACCAGAAGCGUGAUAAGAGCUGAGGAAGAGUUAGGUCUAAAAAAGAGGGUUCAUUAUAAACAAGAUAGAACCAAAAAGAAGGGAAAAAAGACCUUGUGAGAAUUGUAACAAUGAAGUCCAAGUCUAGCGCAGAGGUUGAUGUCAUAAAAACUGCGCCAGUCAUAAACCUACAAAGGCAAUUUUCCGAUUAUAAUAAUGCAUCAAUAAUGUUUGACAGAAAACACAAGAAAGCAAAUUGUGAAGUGUAGAAAAGAGGAAUUCAAAGGAAGAAAGACAUAUCCGACCAUAAUAAUCUGAAACAAUAGAGAUACAGGGAGACAAAGAUAUUUACACUUACUUGGGAGUCUGAAUCGUGUCCGGUAUCAUCAUUAUCAUCAUCCGAAUCAGGGUACUUUCCCGCUCGCACCUACAUCAAACCAAAAAAAAAAAAAUGAUCAAAAUUAUACACAGAGAUUUAUGAAGAAAAAUCGAAAAGGAAAACAUAUAUAUGUUUCACACCUCAUCACAGAAUCGGGCAUAGUCGUCGUCAGUUUCCUCGUCCACGAACCCCUUCAUAUUAUCCCCAAAAUUUAUUAUUAGUUCGUCAAAACCCUAACCCUAAUCUCAGAUGGCAUGAGAAAGAGAAGUCGAUCGACAGCUUAAAGUAGGGAUGUCAAUUAAAGCCCGAAGCUUGGUCCGGCCUGGCCCAACCUUUUAUAAUUUAUACUAACUAUGUUGAGAGAGAGAGAUCAUCGAUCGAAUCCACUUACUAUAACUUGUUCCCCACUCAUCUUCUUCUCGCUCUCACUCUUUGGUCAAUCCCUCCUCCUUUUCUAUCCGAUAUAUAUCUACCUUCAGGUAUGGCGGAAAACACGAGGAUAGCAUCAAUACGAGAUCGAAUUGAACAGAGAAGGGCAAUGCGAAGGGGUAUUAUUCCACCACUACCGCGACUUUACCCCGUGAAACGUUCCCGACGGGCCUACGUAAUAUUUAAUAUUGUUUUUUGUAUUUGAUUUUUUGAUGAUUCCAUCUAUGGUCGUUAUAUAGUUUGGAUUUUCCAACCUGAUUCUCUUUGGGAAUUUUUGUUAGGGUUUUGAUCGGGAUCCCUCAACGUAUACACCAGUUAAGUCUACUUGGGGACAUGCUUAUAGUAUCGCUCUUAAUGCUAGGCUUGGACUCUACUGCUACAAUUUUCAACAAGUAAGUAUUCUCUCUAUGUCUUUCUUUUUGCCAUAAAAAAGAAAAAAAGAAAAAAAAAAAUGUAUGCAUGAGAGAGUUUGUUUUGCUGUGAUCACCUUUCCUUUUGAUUUUGUUUGUUUUGCCCUUUUUGACAGGGAACAAACUUUAUGUUUAACCGCUGGGAAAAGUAUUCUACUAUGAUGACUUCAUUCUUCUGCUUCUACAUCACUUUUUGACGCAACGGACCCUGCUCCGGCUUGGACUUGUCUUUUCAGACCAUGUUGUGCGAUAGUGGACUUAUUCUUUCACUGGGUGUCAGACUCUCGUGGAUGACCCUUGGCUCCAGGAUCCAAAGUACGUAUUAUUCGUGGGUCUGUCUCGUCUUUACUUUAUUAUCUUUAGCGCUCUCUCUUUGUAGAGAUCAGUCACUAGAUUGGACUAACUGUUUAUAGAGACCGCUUUUUUUAAAGGUGAAGAGGCUGUAGAUGAUAACUGGGACUUCGAUGCAGUUGACACCUUCUACACAGGUCCAAUGCCCGAAUGGCUUUCCGAUGAGGCCUUUGCACGUGACCCUAAAAAGUAUUACGUGGUAAGAUCAUUCAUAUAUGGCCACAGUUGAGUUUGCUUGAUAAGGAAGGCAAGUUGUGUCAAAAUGUAGUAAAUAAGGUUGGGUAAAUGUAUUUUUUGUGUAUCAUUCGCAGGUGCAAGAGUCAGAGCUGCAUGAUAAUGACUGGCUUCAACUAUUGAUGGAAAUCGCUUUCUUCUCUAGAGAAAAUCGUGUAAGUCCCUUGAAUUUGCAAUUGUUGUUCUCUGCCAAAAAAAAUUUGUUGUGCCUUUCCCCUUUUUUGUUUUUGUUUAUUUUUAAAAAAAAUUGUUGUCACAAAUGUAAUUGCAGCUAUCGAAAGCUUCCACACCCUUGGAGAUCAAGAAGGUAGUUGUGGAAACUAAAGAAGAAUACACAAGAGAGCCGCGUGAGGUUCUCAAGGCAGAGAAUGCAAUCUACUACAUAAGUUACAAGUGUAAUACUGAUCCUUCAACAGGUUGUGCUGCUGAUCACGAAGCCAUAAUAAGGAAAACCAUGGAUGGUAAACCAGGCACAUGCGUCUUGAAGUUGCUCUUACUAAAGAACAACAACAAGAACAACAACUCUUACUAAAGAACGACAACAAGUAGAAAAAUAGACAGACAUAUGGGAUCUGGUCUGUUAUAAUUAUCAGUAGCUAUAUAUGUUUUUAAAACCUUUUGUUCUCAUGUUGUUUUAUUUAUCUAUCAUCUAUGCACGAUCUUGUUUUUAUUUCUUUAGCUCUUUGGACUAGAUCGAGUGGGAUCUAUGUUUUACCUUUAUGAGGGAUUUCUGUUUGCAAUGCAUAAUUAGUAUUGAGAACCAAAUAAACACUAGUUGUCUUUCCAACCCAACCCACGGAAGUGAGUUGUUAGUUUUUCAAAUUCCUUUAUCGGAAAAUCGAUUGUGUCUUCACUUGUACAAAUAUUUCUUGUCUGAGUUUUAAAACUCAGUCGUGUCACAUUGCAAAUCGUAUCACUCACAAUUUGUUAACCAAAUUGAAUGGUGGUGACUCCAAUAUGUUAGACUUUGCCUUCUCUAAUCAUACAUAUCAUAAGCGAAGUAAAAAUUUCGUUUAAAGCUCUCUCAUUAAAUUUCAGAGUAUUUGUGAUUUUUUUUAAUUUUUAUUAACUAUCAUAUAUUAUUUUAUAUAUUAACCAGUUUUGAUGUAUUUUUCUUUUUCUUUUAUUAGUUUGGGCUGAGUCGAGCUUUUUUUUGUUUAUUCCCUUGUAUAUGGUGAAUAUUAAUAACUUUCUUUUAUUACGAGGUUUGACUUGUCAAAAUACCAAACUUUUUAAUAGUUUUAUUAUCUUGGAAAAAUGAUAUAUUUUAAAAUGUAUUUUGUAUGAUGGAACUGAUAUAUCUCAAUUAAAGAAGUAUUCAAUGUUGAAGUUACAGGCAGCUUAUCAAUGGAUUCACGUUGUAUCAUUUGUUAAUUUCAACAUUACUUUUAGUGAAAGUGCAAUGUAAAAAAACUCGGUCGUUAUAGUAUUUCACUUCGUUAGCCCUUUGAAUGAUACUGAGAAGUUUAGUCUCAUCUCAGGUUUCAAAAGAAAUGAAACAACCACCCCAAGACUGGCUUUACAAAAAAAACAGAACACGAACCAGAGUAUAUAUAUCAAACUCAAUUACCAUAGAAACACCACAUAGACAGAUGUAUUGGGAAAUUGCUUCUCACUACUUUUAAGCCUAAGAUGCAUCCAAAAAUCAUGCUAAAUUCUUCAUAACAAUGGUGUUGAAGUGUAAGAGAUCGAGUUCUGGUUUUCUCAACCACAAGAGGAAACAAGAAUUUGAUGCUUUACCGACAAUGGUUAAAAUGAAGAAUUCGAUAAUCCAAGAAGAGGAAGACAAGGACAAUGUUGCUUGCGACAUAAGCAACAUAAAAAAAGAGUUCCCAAGACAGUUGAGUUUCGGAUCAAGAGCUCUUGACCUCAACUUAAGAGUUGAUGCCGAAGAAGAAGAAGUAACAGUAGCUAAACUGGCCACUCAAAUCUCAAGCGGGUUUGAAGAACGUUUUCUAGAUUCGAUCAAGAACCGGUUUGAUUUCACAGUUUUGUCAAACGAAGAUAUAACCAG
rnacentral:lncRNA from 1 species